rnacentral:rRNA from 1 species
AACGCUGGCGGCAUGCCUUACACAUGCAAGUCGAACGGCAGCAUAGGAGCUGCUCCUGAUGGCGAGUGGCGAACGGGUGAGUAAUAUAUCGGAACGUGCCCUAGAGUGGGGGAUAACUAGUCGAAAGACUAUAAUACCGCAUACGAUCUACGGAUGAAAGUGGGGGAUCGCAAGACCUCAUGCUCCUGGAGCGGCCGAUAUCUGAUUAGCUAGUUGGUGGGGUAAAAGCCUACCAAGGCAACGAUCAGUAGCUGGUCUGAGAGGACGACCGCCACACUGGGACUGAGACACGGCCCAGACUCCUACGGGAGGCAGCAGUGGGGAAUUUUGGACAAUGGGGGCAACCCUGAUCCAGCAAUGCCGCGUGAGUGAAGAAGGCCUUCGGGUUGUAAAGCUCUUUUGUCAGGGAAGGAACGGUAGUAGCGAAUAACUAUUACUAAUGACGGUACCUGAAGAAUAAGCACCGGCUAACUACGUGCCAGCAGCCGCGGUAAUACGUAGGGUGCAAGCGUUAAUCGGAAUUACUGGGCGUAAAGCGUGCGCAGGCGGUUGUGUAAGUC